UACGGAGGAUGCGAGCGUUAUCCGGAUUUAUUGGGUUUAAAGGGUGCGUAGGCGGCUUUUUAAGUCAGCGGUGAAAUUUUGCAGCUUAACUGUAACAGUGCCGUUGAUACUGGGGAGCUAGGAUUUGGUUGCUGUGGGUGGAAUGUGUGGUGUAGCAGUGAAAUGCUUAGAGAUCACACAGAAUAUCGAUUGCGAAGGCAGCUCACAAAGCCAAGAUUGACGCUGAGGCACGAAAGUGUGGGGAUCAAACAGGA
rnacentral:rRNA from 1 species